rnacentral:rRNA from 1 species
CAGGAUGAACGCUAGCGGCAGGCUUAACACAUGCUAGUCGAGGGGCAGCGGGGAGGAAGCUUGCUUUCUCCGCCGGCGACCGGCGCACGGGUGAGUAACACGUAUGCAACCUGCCCCUGUCAGGGGGACAACCCGCCGAAAGGCGGGCUAAACCCGCGUACAUGCCACCGGGGCAUCCCGGAGGCAGGAAAGGCUUCGGCCGGACAGGGAUGGGCAUGCGGCGCAUUAGGCAGUAGGCGGGGUAACGGCCCACCUAACCGACGAUGCGUAGGGGUUCUGAGAGGAAGGUCCCCCACACUGGUACUGAGACACGGACCAGACUCCUACGGGAGGCAGCAGUGAGGAAUAUUGGUCAAUGGUCGGGAGACUGAACCAGCCAAGCCGCGUGAGGGAGGAAGGUACAGAGUAUCGUAAACCUCUUUUGUCAGGGAACAAAGACUGGGACGCGUCCCCGGAUGAGUGUACCUGAAGAAAAAGCAUCGGCUAACUCCGUGCCAGCAGCCGCGGUAAUACGGAGGAUGCGAGCGUUAUCCGGAUUUAUUGGGUUUAAAGGGUGCGCAGGCGGUCUGUUAAGUCAGCGGUCAAAGCCCGGGGCUCAACCCCGGCCCGCCGUUGAAACUGGCAGUCUCGAGUUGGAGAGAAGUAUGCGGAAUGCGCGGUGUAGCGGUGAAAUGCAUAGAUAUCGCGCAGAACUCCGAUUGCGAAGGCGGCAUGCCGGGCUCCACACUGACGCUGAGGCACGAAAGCGUGGGUAUCGAACAGGAUUAGAUACCCUGUAGUCCACGCAGUAAACGAUGAAUGCUGGCUGUCCGGGGGGACUGACCCCUGGGUGGCGAAGCGAAAGCGAUAAGCAUUCCACCUGGGGAGUACGCCGGCAACGGUGAAACUCAAAGGAAUUGACGGGGGCCCGCACAAGCGGAGGAACAUGUGGUUUAAUUCGAUGAUACGCGAGGAACCUUACCCGGGCUCAAACGGGGAGUGGCGCAGGCAGAGACGCCUGUUUCCCACGGGACACUCCCCGAGGUGCUGCAUGGUUGUCGUCAGCUCGUGCCGUGAGGUGUCGGCUUAAGUGCCAUAACGAGCGCAACCCCCGCGUGCAGUUGCUAACAGUCAACGCUGAGGACUCUGCACGGACUGCCGGCGCAAGCCGCGAGGAAGGCGGGGAUGACGUCAAAUCAGCACGGCCCUUACGUCCGGGGCGACACACGUGUUACAAUGGGUGGUACAGCGGGAAGCCAGGCGGCGACGCCGAGCGGAACCCGAAAUCCACUCUCAGUUCGGAUCGGAGUCUGCAACCCGACUCCGUGAAGCUGGAUUCGCUAGUAAUCGCGCAUCAGCCAUGGCGCGGUGAA